ensembl:lncRNA LINC02103 long intergenic non-protein coding RNA 2103
GAGAGCAGGAGAGUUAACAGACCUGUGACAAAAACAAUUAAAAGUUUAAGAACUGAGUGGUGGAAGUAGGAUAGUCCUUAUCAACAUCUUUCUCCCUGACCUACAGAUAAAUAUAUGUUCCUGUCACCACACACUUAGACCGAAGUAAGUCCUGAAGCAGGAAAUCAGUGAGUUUCACAGCUUUCUGAGCCACUACGCAACCCAGGAAGCCCAGAUGGCCCCUCCUUUCAGUAUCAUCAAUCAGAGCUUAAGGAGGGCAAGAUACUUGAAGUCUAACUCACCAAGAGGAUGAAGUUCUCAUCAUUCCAUCUGACGAACAAGCGAGAACUAGCCAAGUGCUGGCCAAAGCUGCAGUGACUGACUCUCAUCUCUGAACACGAGGAGCGGUCUCGGAGUAGUCAUGGACCCAGAAAUGGGUCUCAGGCAAGGCCACUGUUGUGCCCUCCUAAGCAUGAGCUGUAGCAACGUCAGCAUCCAGUCCAACUGGGCUAAACUCGGGUCCAGCUGGGAACUUCUGUGCCCCUAGGGGCCCAGAUCUGGUGAAUUAUUUUUCUACAAAGAUUUUUAUUAAUAAGAGACUGGAGAUACUACAUAGAUGCGUCUUUCUCUUCUUCCCUCAAGGAACUGAUCUGCUAUCUGUGGUUCUGAGUAAACUCAUAGACAUAUCACACGACAGAGAAAUCCUAUUUGUUUUCUUUGAAACUAUGCUCAGUUUAAUAAAACCCUACCUUUUA